rnacentral:rRNA from 1 species
GACGAACGCUGGCGGCGCGCUUAACACAUGCAAGUCGAGCGGUAAGGCUCCUUCGGGAGUACACGAGCGGCGAACGGGUGAGUAACACGUGAGUAAUCUGCCCUUCACUUCGGGAUAACCACCGGAAACGGUGGCUAAUACCGAAUACGACCAGUCUUCGCAUGAGGUGCUGGUGGAAAGUCUUUUCGGUGAAGGAUGUGCUCGCGGCCUAUCAGCUUGUUGGUGGGGUAAUGGCCUACCAAGGCUUCGACGGGUAGCCGGCCUGAGAGGGUGACCGGCCACACUGGGACUGAGACACGGCCCAGACUCCUACGGGAGGCAGCAGUGGGGAAUAUUGGACAAUGGGCGAAAGCCUGAUCCAGCAACGCCGCGUGAGGGAUGACGGCCUUCGGGUUGUAAACCUCUUUCAGUACCGACGAAGCGCCCUGUCGGGUGGUGACGGUAGGUACAGAAGAAGGACCGGCCAACUACGUGC